rnacentral:misc_RNA from 1 species
GAUGAAGAACGCAGUGAAAUGCGAUAAGUAAUGCGAAUUGCAGAAUUUCCGUGAGUCAUCGAAUCUUUGAACGCACAUUGCGCCCGCCAGCAUUCUGGCGGGCAUGCCUGUUCGAGCGUCAUUUCAACCCUCGACCUCCCUUUGGGGAAGUCGGCGUUGGGGACCGGCAGCACACCGCCGGCCCUGAAAUGGAGUGGCGGCCCGUCCGCGGCGACCUCUGCGUAGUAAACCAACUCGCACCGGAACCCCGACGUGGCCACGCCGUAAAACACCCAACUUCUGAACGUUGACCUCGAAUCAGGUAGGACUACCCGCUGAACUUAAGCAUAUCAAUAAGCGGAGGA